rnacentral:lncRNA from 1 species
AUCAAGUUUGAAAUUUUCAGGCAACAUGGUUUCUCCGUUGCUGUCAUUGUCCCUUGAAGACACCCCAUAUUCAACAUCAAGGUCCUCUAGAGUUCAUAAG